UGCUGCUUAUCCCACUUAACUUGUUCCUAGGUAUUUGCCCCGUGGGUAUAAAAGUAUGUCUCAGACAUCAAGGCGAACCACAGGCAGUGAUGAAACAAAAAAUAACUAUAAUUCUGUGACAGGUACCUGGAUUUGAAGGACCAGGCAGAAAAAGAACAAAGUUUCGAGAGCAAGGGGAUUUACAGGAAACAGCAUGAUGAACUACCACAUGUCCGGGACAAACUGGAUGAAGCCAGCAACCCUCAAACACAACAUGUGUCUGAUUUCCCGCAAUUAAAUCAUAGUAACACAUCAAAAACACAGAGAACUCAGAUGAUGAUGUUAGUGACACAGAAGACACCGGUGUUACACAAGGAGACCUAGAUUCUUCAAUAUCUGGGCAGCGUCCUGACAAGUGGGAAGAGUCAUGAAGUCACUGGGUUUCUGACAGAUGACUUGGUGAAUGAAGAAGUGAACGGGAAUCAGAAGAAAUAUUUAGGGGUUUGUCGUUUUCCAGGAGAAGGUCAACGGCACCGUAGGCUGGAAGUUAUUUUGUGCCAUAUGGAGAGUUUGCUUGUCCCUUAUCUACUUCACUGGAUCUGCGCGUUUUAACCACUCAAUGCGGGCUCUGGCCGCUACCAAACACAUGAGCCUAUCAGAACACUCGCUUAACAAGGAUGUUGUGAACAAUGGGAGGUCAGCCAAGGUUGCCCUCUCCCUACACCAACUGAGAGGAAAAUUUUUGAGAUACUUGGGCUUCCAUUUAGAGAACCACAUGAGAGAGACUGGUGAUCCAGUACUAAAUAAUAACCAAUAGACUCAUGCUCAUGCGGUCCUAUCAGUUGUCCACUUUUAAUGUUGGUAAAAAACAUUGGUAGACUAAGGGGUCUAGUUAUGAUGCUGCUUAAAAAGUCAACUGAAACAUUACUGGUGAUGUUGUUCAUAGCAACCAAUCAGAUGUUUGCUUUUGUUUUGUAACAGUUGAAUGCUGAUUGGUUGCUCUGGGCAAUAUCGCCAAUAAUGCUUCUCUCCAUUUUUUACAUAGUAUGAUAAAUAGGGAGUAGCACACCUAUUCAUCUAAUUACCUUUCCAGUUUGAUUUAUCUUUCCACAAGAAGCAAUGUUUGGGAAGGAUGUACUUUCCCAAACACAGUGUGACUUAAGCUGGCCAUAGACUCAAAGAUCCGCUCGUUUGGCAACAUCGCCAAACGAGCGGAUCUUUCCCCGAUAUGCCACUAACGGCAUGGCU